ACGGCUGCUCAGUAACACGUAGUCAACUUACCCUAUGGACGAGGAUAAUCUCGGGAAACUGAGCAUAAUACUCGAUAGAUCAUAAUGCCUGGAAUGGUUUAUGGUUGAAAUGAUUCAUCGCCAUAGGAUGGGACUGCGGCCUAUCAGCUUGUUGGUGAGGUAAUGGCCCACCAAGGCGAUUACAGGUACGGGCUCUGAGAGGAGAAGCCCGGAGAUGGGUACUGAGACAAGGACCCAGGCCCUAUGGGGCGCAGCAGGCGAGAAAACUUUGCAAUGUGCGAAAGCACGACAAGGUUAAUCCGAGUGAUUUCUGCUAAAGAAAUCUUUUGCAAGUCAUAAAACCACUAGUGAAUAAGGGGUGGGCAAGUUCUGGUGUCAGCCGCCGCGGUAAAACCAGCACCUCAAGUGGUCAGGAGGAUUAUUGGGCCUAAAGCAUCCGUAGCCGGCUCUGUAAGUUUUCGGUUAAAUCCAUGUGCUCAACGCAUGGGCUGCCGAAAAUACUGCAUAGCUAGGGAGUGGGAGAGGUAGACGGUACUCGGUAGGAAGGGGUAAAAUCCUUUGAUCUAUCGAUGACCACCUGUGGCGAAGGCGGUCUACCAGAACACGUUCGACGGUGAGGGAUGAAGGCUGGGGGAGCAAACCGGAUUAGAUACCCGGGUAGUCCCAGCUGUAAACGAUGCAGACUCGAUGAUGCAUUGGCAUAUAGCCAGUGCAGUGUCGCAGGGAAGCCGUUAAGUCUGCCGCCUGGGAAGUACGUACGCAAGUAUGAAACUUAAAGGAAUUGGCGGGGGAGCAG
rnacentral:rRNA from 1 species